rnacentral:rRNA from 1 species
AACGAACGCUGGCGGCAGGCCUAACACAUGCAAGUCGAGCGGUAAGGCCCUUUCGGGGGUACACGAGCGGCGAACGGGUGAGUAACACGUGGGUGACCUGCCCUCAGCUCUGGGAUAAGCCUGGGAAACCGGGUCUAAUACCGGAUAUGACUCCAUGACGCAUGUUGUGGGGUGGAAAGCCUUGUGCGGCUGAGGAUGGGCCCGCGGCCUAUCAGCUUGUUGGUGGGGUGANGGCCUACCAAGGCGACGACGGGUAGCCGGCCUGAGAGGGCGACCGGCCACACUGGGACUGAGACACGGCCCAGACUCCUACGGGAGGCAGCAGUGGGGAAUCUUGCGCAAUGGGCGAAAGCCUGACGCAGCGACGCCGCGUGAGGGAUGACGGCCUCGG